CGGGGUGUAGCGCAGUUGGUAGCGUGCUUGUUUCGGGUACAAGAGGUCAUGGGUUCGAAUCCCGUCACCCCGA
rnacentral:tRNA from 2 species